AAUGAGCAUAUUAGUUAUGUUGUAUGUGUUCGAUACUGAAAACGGAUACUUGCCUAUUUAAAAACAAACGCUUAUAAGUAAGAAUUUAAUAAGUUAUUUGAUUUAAUGUUAUUCAAUCAAUAAGAAGAAUAAUUAUACCUUUGGCUUUAACUUUCGCAUAUUGUAACAAUAUGAUUGUCGGACCACCGUCUUUGUUCAUUUGAACGUAGUUCAUGAUUUAACAGCAUAUGUCUCCCAAAAAAGUAUAGUUCAAUGUGUCAUUCCUGCACAAUUUCAAUGAUUAUUUUAACAAAUUAUAUAGUACUAUAAGAAUAGUAGUUAAAGUCGAAAUAUAAAAACUGUCAUAAAAAUAAAUUAAAAGCCAGAACAUUUACACAUGGUCUUUUAGAAUUAGGUUCACUUGUUGCUUGUUGUUGCCAGC
rnacentral:lncRNA from 1 species